rnacentral:rRNA from 1 species
CAGCAGCCGCGGUAAUACAGAGGAUGCAAGCGUUAUCCGGAAUGAUUGGGCGUAAAGCGUCUGUAGGUGGCUUUUCAAGUCCGCCGUCAAAUCCCAGGGCUCAACCCCGGACAGGCAGUGGAAACUACCAAGCUGGAGUACGGUAGGGGCAGAGGGAAUUUCCGGUGGAGAGGUGAAAUGCGUUGAGAUUGGAAAGAACACCAACGGUGAAAGCGCUCUGCUGGGCCGACACUGACACUGAGAGACGAAAUCUAGGGGAGCAAAUGGGAUUAGAUACCCCAGUAGUCCCUGUCUCUUAUAC